rnacentral:rRNA from 1 species
UGAUAGGUUGGAUGUGGAAGUGCGGUGACGCAUGAAGCUGACCAAUACUAAUUGCUCGUGAGGCUUGACUAU